rnacentral:rRNA from 1 species
UACGUAGGUGGCAAGCGUUGUCCGGAAUUAUUGGGCGUAAAGCGCGCGCAGGCGGCCUCUUAGGUCUGAUGUGAAAUCUUGCGGCUCAACCGCAAGCGGCCAUUGGAAACUGGGGGGCUUGAGUACAGAAGAGGAGAGUGGAAUUCCACGUGUAGCGGUGAAAUGCGUAGAUAUGUGGAGGAACACCAGUGGCGAAGGCGACUCUCUGGUCCGUAACUGACGCUCAGGCACGAAAGCGUGGGGAGCAAACAGG